rnacentral:lncRNA from 1 species
AUGUCAAAUGCUGUGCAUUCUCCACCCUACCCCAACCUCACAUCGCCACAAACACAUGGCUUUCUAUUGAUUCAAUGUGGCAUGAUAAAAUACAGACCCAGAACGAGGCCAAGCAUGCAGGAAGCAUUUCCGGAACAGAGGAUGAGUGAGUUUUGUCUUCGGAUCCUAAGCUUGCAACUCAUUAUUUAAUACUGAGCUUCUUAAUGCUACAUUUGAAAUAAGCAAGAGAUUCUCCUGUAGAUAAAUGAUAUUUCCCCUACAGAAAAUUACCUCAUCACGUGGAGUAGAAUGUCUCUUAAGGCCGUGGAGUGAGGA